rnacentral:rRNA from 1 species
CCUACGGGUGGCAGCAGUGGGGGAUAUUGCACAAUGGGGGAAACCCUGAUGCAGCGACGCCGCAUGUGGGAAGACGGUCCUCUGGAUUGUAAACCACUGUCCCCAGGGACGAAGAUGACGGUACCUGGGGAGGAAGCUCCGGCUAACUACGUGCCAGCAGCCGCGGUAAUACGUAGGGAGCGAGCGUUGUCCGGAAUUACUGGGUGGAAAGGGAGCGUAGGCGGGACUGCAAGUUGGGGGUCAAAGCUACCGGCUCAACCGGUAGCCGCACUCAAAACUGCAGUUCUUGAGUGAAGUAGAGGCAGGCGGAAUUCCUAGUGUAGCGGUGAAAUGCGUAGAUAUUAGGAGGAACACCAGUGGCGAAGGCGGCCUGCUGGGCUUUUACUGACGCUGAGGCUCGAAAGUGUGGGGAGCAAACAGGAUUAGAUACCCCAGUAGUC